rnacentral:rRNA from 1 species
UGACGGUACCCUACUAGAAAGGAGCCGCUAACUUCGUGCCAGAAGCGUCGGUAAUACGGGGGCUCCAAGCGUUAUCCGGUGUUAUUGGGCGUAAAGAGUCGUGUAGGUGGUUGGGUAAGUUAUCUUUCAAAUAUCUUUGCUUAACAAAGAGGAGGGGGAUAAUACUGCUCGACUAGAAUUUUCUCAAGGGAGAUCGGAACUGAGGGAGGAGUAGUGAAAUGCGUUGAUACCCUCGGGAACACCAGUGGCGUAGGCGGAUCUCUGGGAGAAGAUUGACACUGAGACACGAAAGCUAGGGGAGCGAAGCAGAUUAGAGACCUGCGUAGUCCUAGCCGUAAACGCAUGCUUGCUAGCUGCAUGAAUCUACCUUCGGGUGGUAUCGCGUGGCGAAGGUAACCCGUUAAGCAAGCCGCCUGGAAAGUACGGCCGCAAGGCUGAAAUUCAAAGGAAUUGGCGGGGAGGCACACAACCAGUGGAACAUGUGGUUUAAUUCGAGACUAACCGAAGAACCUCACCAGGGUUUGACAUGUAGCUGCACGUCUUAAGAAAUUAAGACUCUCUUGAAGGUGCUACACAGGUGCUGCAUGGCUGUCGUCAGCUCGUUCCGUGAGGAGUGCCCUUAAGUGGGACAACGAGCGCAACCCCUAUUACAUGUUAGAAAUGUCAUGUAAGACUGCCUUGCCAUUUGGCGGGGAGGAAGGAGGGGCAGACGUCAAGUCCGCAUGGUCCUUAUGCCCUGGGCUACACACAUGUUACAAUGAGUACGGCAAUGAGUCUGUCGCGAGCACGUAAGUGUAAGCUAAUCUCUUAAAUGUAUUCUCAGUGGGGAUUGAGGUCUGCAACUCGACCUCAUGAACACGGAAUUGGUAGUAAUCGCGGGUCAGCUAUACCGCGGUGAUACGUUCUUGCCUCUUGCACACACCGCCCGUCAAACCAGCAAAGUCGAUUGUAUCCGAACCU